rnacentral:rRNA from 1 species
CCUACGGGGGGCAGCAGUAGGGAAUCUUCCACAAUGGGCGAAAGCCUGAUGGAGCAACGCCGCGUGGGUGAAGAAGGUCUUCGGAUCGUAAAACCCUGUUGUUAGAGAAGAAAGUGCGUGAGAGUAACUGUUCACGUUUCGACGGUAUCUAACCAGAAAGCCACGGCUAACUACGUGCCAGCAGCCGCGGUAAUACGUAGGUGGCAAGCGUUAUCCGGAUUUAUUGGGCGUAAAGGGAACGCAGGCGGUCUUUUAAGUCUGAUGUGAAAGCCUUCGGCUUAACCGGAGUAGUGCAUUGGAAACUGGGAGACUUGAGUGCAGAAGAGGAGAGUGGAACUCCAUGUGUAGCGGUGAAAUGCGUAGAUAUAUGGAAGAACACCAGUGGCGAAAGCGGCUCUCUGGUCUGUAACUGACGCUGAGGUUCGAAAGCGUGGGUAG